rnacentral:rRNA from 1 species
CAGCAGCCGCGGUAAUACGAAGGGGGCUAGCGUUGUUCGGAAUUACUGGGCGUAAAGCGCACGUAGGCGGACAUUUAAGUCAGGGGUGAAAUCCCGGGGCUCAACCCCGGAACUGCCUUUGAUACUGGGUGUCUAGAGUAUGAAAGAGGUGAGUGGAAUUCCGAGUGUAGAGGUGAAAUUCGUAGAUAUUCGGAGGAACACCAGUGGCGAAGGCGGCUCACUGGUCCAUUACUGACGCUGAGGUGCGAAAGCGUGGGGAGCAAACAGGAUUAGAUACCCCGGUAGUCCCUGUCUCUUAUAC